GUUAUUAGAAGGGGAAUUCACCAUCCUGAUCUUGGACGAAACGAUGCUUUAAUGUCAACCAGCACUUAACAUCAGAGGCAGAUGCUGGUGAUGUGGACACAGAGGUUGAAUCUUCUCACCACUAU